GUGCAGCCGCCGCGGUAAUACCGGCAGCCCGAGUGAUGGCCGGUAUUAUUGGGCCUAAAGCGUCCGUAGCUGGCCGAACAAGUCCGUCGGGAAAUCCACGUGCUUAACACGUGGGCGACCGGCGGAAACUGUUCGGCUUGGGGCCGGAGGACCCGAGGGGUACGUCCGGGGUAGGAGUGAAAUCCUGUAAUCCUGGACGGACCGCCGGUGGCGAAAGCGCCUCGGGAAGACGGAUCCGACAGUGAGGGACGAAAGCUAGAGUCUCGAACCGGAUUAGAUACCCGAGUAGUCC
rnacentral:rRNA from 1 species